CACUUUCUGUCCCUUCGUCUGGUCCAGCUUCUUGCACUCGCUGCCAACUUACUCGCAGCACCUCUGCCUCUGUCUUGCCAUCUACCACAACCGCCGGUGGAGACGAAGAAAUGUCUGAUUAUGAAUCUUCAC